rnacentral:rRNA from 1 species
AUUGAACGCUGGCGGCAUGCCUUACACAUGCAAGUCGAACGGUAACAGGUCUUCGGAUGCUGACGAGUGGCGAACGGGUGAGUAAUACAUCGGAACGUGCCCGAUCGUGGGGGAUAACGAGGCGAAAGCUUUGCUAAUACCGCAUACGAUCUACGGAUGAAAGCGGGGGAUCUCCGGCCCUGGCGGGGACGGAGCGGCCGAGGGCGGAUUAGGUAGUUGGUGGGAUAAAAGCUUACCAAGCCGACGAUCUGUAGCUGGUCUGAGAGGAUGAUCAGCCACACUGGGACUGAGACACGGCCCAGACUCCUACGGGAGGCAGCAGUGGGGAAUUUUGGACAAUGGGCGAAAGCCUGAUCCAGCCAUGCCGCGUGCAGGAUGAAGGCCUUCGGGUUGUAAACUGCUUUUGUACGGAACGAAAAGCCUCUUUCUAAUAAAGAGGGGUCAGGACGGUACCGUAAGAAUAAACACCGGCUAACUACGU